CCUACGGGUGGCAGCAGUGAGGAAUAUUGGUCAAUGGACGCAAGCCUGAACCAGCCAUGCCGCGUGCAGGAUGACGGCUCUAUGAGUUGUAAACUGCUUUUGUACGAGGGUAACCGCCUCCACUCGUGUCGGUCUGCAGGUACCGUACGAAUAAGGGUCGGCUAACUCCGUGCCAGCAGCCGCGGUAAUACGGAAGGGCCCAGCGUUAUCCGGAUUUAUUGGGCUUAAAGGGUGCGUAGGCGGUCGGUUAAGUUAGCUGUAAAAUCGCGGGGCUCAACCGCGCCCUCGCAUUUGAUACGGGACGGCUUGAGUGCAGAUGAGGCAGGCGGAAUGCGUGGUGUAGCGGUGAAAUGCAUAGAGAUCA
rnacentral:rRNA from 1 species